CUACGGGACGCUGCAGUGGGGAAUUUUGGACAAUGGGGGCAACCCUGAUCCAGCCAUGCCGCGUGAGUGAAGAAGGCCUUCGGGUUGUAAAGCUCUUUCGGCCGGGAAAAAAUCGCAUGGGUUAAUACCCUGUGUGGAUGAUGGUACCGGAAUAAGAAGCACCGGCUAACUACGUGCCAGCAGCCGCGGUAAUACGUAGGGUGCGAGCGUUAAUCGGAAUUACUGGGCGUAAAGCGUGCGCAGGCGGUUUGAUAAGACAGGCGUGAAAUCCCCGGGCUCAACCUGGGAACUGCGCUUGUGACUGUCUCACUAGAGUACGGCAGAGGGGGGUGGAAUUCCACGUGUAGCAGUGAAAUGCGUAGAGAUGUGGAGGAACACCAAUGGCGAAGGCAGCCCCCUGGGUCGAUACUGACGCUCAUGCACGAAAGCGUGGGGAGCAAACAGGAUUAGAUACCCGUGUAGUC
rnacentral:rRNA from 1 species